CCGGGCCGCGGCCUGAGCCGGGAACUCGCGAGGGUGGGAGGGAAGGACGGGAAGGGAGCCGCUCGUGAGGAACCCCCCGGUCUGAACCUCCCUCUCCGGGAUCCGCUGGGCGCACAGAGCGCCACCUCCGGCCGAGGCGCGGCACGGAGCGCGGUGCGGGGGAGCGACGCGCGGGAGGCCGAGGCCUGCGCGGGGCCGGACGGCUCCCCCGCCACGAAAGGGCAGGUGCGCCCUGGUGGACGGAUCCCGCCCGCCUAGGCCAGGUGGGAUCGGACCCCGGCCGCGGAGGGUCCCUUGAGGACCAGGCAUAGAGGGGUGGCUGGGCAUGCCACCGCGAAGCUAGACGGCCCAGGCCCCUGGAGGCCAGGAGGUGCCCGGGUGGGUGGGCCCCGAGAAUUCUGCCAGGCCUGGCCCUCAGCCCCCAGCGCCCCCGUCCCGUGGGCUAGGCCCGCGCCCCCUCCGGCCGCCCUCCGGCCACACAAAGGCAGUAAAGGCGCAGCCCGCGGGCGCUCUUUCAUCCCCGCCUCGGCGGGCUUCGGCAUUUCAAAGGCCCAGUCCCAAGGGCGCUUCGGGGGGCGCUCCCCUUCCCCCCAAAUACCGGGAGAGGUGGGGGCGGGGCCUCUCCUGCAGUGUCUGGAGGGCCCGGGUCCACAGCGCCCUCCCUCCCGGAGCCUUCACACACCUGCGGCCGCCGGCGGCCCUGCCUCCCCCUGGGCCACAGCCCCACCCUGCGACCCUGAUGCCAGCGCCCUCCCCGGCGGUCAGGAUGGAAGUCCCAGGGAGAACCAGGGAAAACUUGGAAAGGUCUGGAGGGCACGUGAGAGCCAGUCGUGUCUGUCCAGGUGGAACCUCCUGUGGCUUCCGAGAGGGAGACCGCUGGGCAAUUUCUGGAAGGAUGCCAGAAGUGCAGCGUGGGGACUGGGCCUGGACGCGGUCUGAUGGUUAUCCCCAAAGCUGACCAUGUCACGCCCACUGAGCCUCCGACUCCUGGCGGGCAGAGAAGACCCCAGAACACGUCUUUGGGGUUAAAGGACAAGGUUUGAUAACGGGUGUGGGAAUGAAGGAGGAAAGGUUGGUUGAAUUGAGGACGGGGGCGCGGGUCCCUCCCAGCUCCAACCUCUGCACAGAGGGUCGCUGGUUCCCCCCGGGGAGGGGGGGGCUCCGCAACACCCCUGAGCAGCCCGUCCUGGCCUGGCACUUCAGGGGCGCCCAGUUCGAGUUUGGGGCCAGGAGGGGAGGUCUGGGGACGCCUUGGGGCGUCGUCCCCGGGAGUCUCCGGCCAGAGCGAGGGCGGGGAGCACGGGGAGGCCCGGAGAGCUGCGGGGGGCAGCGCAGGCCUCGCUCUAAUCGCCGGACGCUAUUAAAAAUAAAACCGCAGCUGGUCGUCAUAGCGACCGCGACAACAGCGGCCGCGAGGGUGGCAGGACUUCUGCAGCCGCGCGACAGCCGCCUUUUUGGGGGACACUCGGGGCACGACGCGCGUGCGAGCACCAGGGCCCGCCCUGGGUGGGACGGGGACGCCCCUAACCCCACGCGCCCCACCCUCCCCCGGAUCCUCGUAAGAAACUGGUCCCUAGAAAGUCUGUUUCCAAGAGCUGGAAAUGGAGACCGGAGGACCGACUUGACCAAGGGGUCACCAAUUUGGCAGACCCCAGGGAGCACAGACCUGUCCCACCUCCCGUGUCACAGAGGGAGCGUUUGAACGCCAAGAAGUCAGGCCACAGGCCCCCGUCCCAGAGCUGGGGAGUGGCGGAGUACCGGGAGGCCGGCUCCCCGACGGCACGGGCCCCUCUGUGCCAGCCUAUUAAAUACACGCGACACAGGACGCAUUUAUCCCACGGUCUGCAGAAGGAUGUGUGGCCACCGGCCAUAAAGGAUGUGGAGCCCAGGCCCACCUGAUCCCCACUGCCAGGGGGGACGGGAGGGGCACACCCGAGUUUUGGCUGCCCUCUGCCCCUUGACCUUGGCCUUCUUGGUGUGGGUCGUCCCCAAUCUGCCCUGGAGAAUGGGGGCCAAUAACCCCCACGCAGGGCCAUCUCCCCCGUCCACGAGGAAUCCACCAGGAAGAGAAGCAGCCAUGCACCUGUGCAUACAUGUACACACACACCUGCAGGGCCGAGGGGGCCCCAGGCCAAGGGCCCGGCUGCGCGGCUGCCUGCUCCCAGGUCACACAGGUGGAGGCCAGUUGGGCAUCCACACCAAGCUCUCUGCCCCAUGCCGGGGUGGAACCAGAACAAUUUGUAAUGACGUAACACCACCGUCCCCUUUAUCUCUGGGCAAGGCUUUCUGGGUUCAGGGCCCUUAAUCCCGGAGCAGCUCAGCCGAGUGGGCACGGCUCCUUGAAGAUCAAAAGUGCCCGUACAGGUGUUAAUUAAGCCAUGCCCCUGGCCCGCCUCAGGCCCCGGAGGCUGGAGGCUCGGCUGGGAAUCAGGCCUUUCCAGUUCAGGCUCCCCAGAAAGGAAGAUAAGCCCGCGAGCAGAGCAGGCCGAGAAGGUGUUCUCAGUGUUGUCUUAACUCCCCAUUAAAUAUUUGUAUUUCCUUUUUUAAGUACACAAACAGAAAUGCAGUUCCAAUCGCGUCGAGCCCGCGAUCCUUUGUGACUGUUUUGUGGGUGAAGGCCGACGUUAAGGGACGCUUGGUGGUGGCUUCAGGAAAUGAAGGCUGUUGCUGGGCUGUGCAAACGGGAGCCACCGGCCCCGAGUGGCCGCUGGGCACGUGGAAUGUGGCUGGUCUGAAUCGUCGUGCUGUGCUGUGCGUGCAAGCUCACAGCCUUCGAGGACCCCGUAGGGAACAAAGGGUGUCAAAUUUCUCAUUGGUAACUUUUUUAUUAAUUAUGUGUUGAAAAGAUAGCAUUUUUUAGAAUGGAGUUAAAUAAACUGUAUGAUUGCAAUUCA